AGAGUUUGAUCCUGGCUCAGAUUGAACGCUGGCGGAAUGCUUUACACAUGCGAGUCGAGCGGCAGCGCGGGGGCAACCCUGGCGGCGAGCGGCGAACGGGUGAGUAAUGUAUCGGAACGUACCCAGUCGUGGGGGAUAACUAUCCGAAAGGAUAGCUAAUACCGCAUACGACCUGAGGGUGAAAGCGGGGGACCGUAAGGCCUCGCGCGAUUGGAGCGGCCGAUAUCGGAUUAGCUUGUUGGUGAGGUAAAGGCUCACCAAGGCGACGAUCCGUAGCUGGUCUGAGAGGACGACCAGCCACACUGGAACUGAGACACGGUCCAGACUCCUACGGGAGGCAGCAGUGGGGAAUUUUGGACAAUGGGGGCAACCCUGAUCCAGCCAUUCCGCGUGAGUGAAGAAGGCCUUCGGGUUGUAAAGCUCUUUCA
rnacentral:rRNA from 1 species